AUGUAUUCAUUAGAAAAAAUGAAAGAAACGAAUCAAAAUAUAUGGUCUUAACAAAUUUAUUGUUCGAAGGUUUAGUUCACAAAAAUUGCUUGUCAACUUUAAGUUAAUCUAGCCAGUCAAUCAAUACAAAAUCAUCUAAUUAAAAUGCGGAAACAAACAAAACGAGGUAGAGAUAUAGGAAGAAAAUUCGAAAGUGGCAAUACAAAAUAAAACUAGUUAGUUAAGAAAAGACCACCAAAAAUUCUUCCAGAUGAUUUUCCCAGUCAAAACAAUGGAAGACAUUUUUCAAAAGUGCAUUUGAAAAGAAAGCUUUCAAAAGGAGAAAGUUCGUCCGUGGAUUUUUUAUUUUAUUGUUGACUAUUUAGUGUAGGAGUACCAUUUGGUGCGCUUGUUACUUCUGGAUUUAAUAACUGGUCAAAUAUUUACAAAAGAUUAUCAUUACAUGAAAACUCGAAAAAUCAUUUGAUAGUAAUGUUAAAAUGUACAGAUCUUCAAAAAAGACUGUCUGCUGAACAAACAAUUGAUAAAGUGCAGCAAAAGUUGCUCAAUCAAGAAAAAAUUAAUUAUUAUAAAAUUUUUGAAAGACUAUUUUCUGUGGUUCAGUUUUUAGCUGAACACAAUAUAUAGCAUUUUGAGGACUUAUUAAAAAACAAGGAGAUGCAGGAAAUAGAAAUUUUAUAGGUAUUAUAAAGUUACUUAGAAAAUUUGAUCCAAUAAUGCAGGACCAUCUAAAGCGAAUUGUCAGUAAAACAACUAAUGAACAUUAUCUAAGAAAACAAUCCAAAAUGAAAUUAUAAAUGUAAUAGGCAGUAAAAUUCGAAAUAAAAUUAUAGAACGAAUAAAAAAAAAAAAGUAUUUUGCUGUUAUUCUUGACUGUACUUCAGACAUUAGUCCUAAAGAACAAAUGUCUCUUAGCCUAAGAUAUGUUUCAGACGGUACACUACCAGGUUCAAGUGCCAAUGUAUAUGAACAGUUUAUUAAAUUUAUACAUGUAGAAAGCAGUACAGGAGAAAACCAAUUUUCUGUGUUGAAACAAGAAAUUCAAUCUUUAGGACUAAACAUUAAUGACAUUUGAGGGCAAGGCUACGACAACAGUUCUAAAAUAAAGGGAAAGGUUUCAGGGGGUUCAGGCUAGAUUGCUAAAAGAAAAUUCAAGAGCAUUUUUUACACCUUGCACAUGUCAUAAUUACAAUCUCCUAUUGGGAGAUAUAGCCAAAAUUUGCCCAGAAGCUAUAACAUUUUUCGGUAUUCUUCACCUGUAUGUUUUAUUUUUGGCAUUUACAAAAAGAUGGCUAGUGCUUCUCAAAUAUGUGAAAGAGCUUACUGUAAAACCAAUUUGUGAUACCAGAUAACUUAUAUACAAUUUUCGUAGCAAAAAUAUUAAAGCAUGUUUUUAUUUAAUAGAAUAUAGUGAAAUUAUUGAUUA